rnacentral:tRNA from 1 species
AGCGAGGCGUUUACCGGCCCGGCAGCCGGCCAAUCGCCAGGCCGGUCGCAGGUUCAAAUCCUGCCCUCGCAACCA